rnacentral:rRNA from 1 species
AUGGUUGUCGUCAGCUCGUGUCGUGAGAUGUUGGGUUAAGUCCCGCAACGAGACGCAACCCCUACGUUUAGUUGCUAACGCGUGAAGGCGAGCACUCUAGACGAACUGCCGUUGACAAAACGGAGGAAGGUGGGGAUGACGUCAAAUCAUCAUGCCCCUUAUGUUCUGGGCUACACACGUGCUACAAUGGCCGGUACAGACGGACGCAAAGCCGCGAGGUGGAGCAAAUCCUAAAAAGCCGGUCUCAGUUCGGAUUGCAGGCUGCAAUUCGCCUGCAUGAAGUCGGAAUCGCUAGUAAUCGCAGGUCAGCAUACUGCGGUGAAUACGUUCCCGGGCCUU